rnacentral:lncRNA from 1 species
GCAACACACCUAUCUUAAACUAAUAUAUAUAUAUAUAUACACACACACACACACACAUAUAUAUAUAUACACACACAUACUAGUUUAACCUCACGUGCCUCGCACGCGUAAUGUUUGAUAAUUUAAAAUUAAAUUAUUUAUCUAUUAUGGAGAUUUUUAAUGAAGUGUAAAAGUUUAAAUCACUUUCAAAGAUUCUUCACACUUUAAUAUAAUAAUAUAAACAUAAACAUAUAUUUUAGUAUAAGCACAUACUAUAUAUUUUAACACCAGAAGUUCUAAGUGGCUGAUGGAUCAUCACUUUUGCGUUUGACUUGCAGUACAUCUUUCCUUGCUGCCAGAGACAAAGAGAGGCGCAUCAAUUUGAACCAUAUUUAUUGUACGGUUAUUUUUUUUUAUAUUUAAAAUCUUUUCAUGUUUUUAAAGUUAAGUCUUUAUAAUAUCAUUGAUUACAUUCUUAUUACCUACUUAAAACUUUUAAAAUUUUGAUAAUUCUUAAAUUUUUCUUAUUCCAAUGCUUUUAUAUUUAUUUCUAGACUUUUCAAAUCUUCUUAAAAUUAAAUUUAGUAGAUUUAGAAUUUUUAAACUAAUAAAAAAAGUAUUUGUUGUCAUUAAUGCUAAUGACUUCUAAUAAGAAAAAGAUUUUACCAUAAAUAUAUUUAAUGAAUUUUCAAGUCUUAAAUAUUAGGAAAAAAUAGUGAAAAGAUGAUUUUGUCCAAUGUAAAGACUUUUAAUGAAGGUCAAAAAGUUCAAACGAUAUUUCUAAAACUCAUCACACUUUUAAUAUAUUAUGAUAGAUAUGGUGGUGUAAUCAAGAAUUUUAAUCUUAGAAAUUAAAAUGGGGUUAUAACGUUUUGAAUAUCUCCGGUGUUUUCUCGAUUGUAUUUGUCACACAAAACUUGUCUAGAGUGCUUUAACUUUCUUUUAUGAUGUGUGGGCUGUUAUGUUGAAGCAACAUUUACUUUAUAUACACAAAAAAGUUAGUAGCAAUGAAUUUUCUGGUCAUUUUUUUUAAAAGAAAAGUAUGUCACCUACUUGUUGACUAAGAUUCUAUCGCAUAAAAGAUGGGAUAAAGUUAGAAAUAGAAGUAAAGACAAAAAACACCUUACUCAAUGUAGACGCGUAAAUGUUUAUUAGAUCAAAAUCUUACAAAAUUUGAAUUUCAUACAUAUUUUUUUGGGUCUAAAACUAUUUUGGGCUUUAGAAAAUAAUAAACCCAUUUUAUUAAAGUCCUCAUCAAGGUUCAUCUCACCUUGAAGCCCAAAUUCAUGUCAUGUGUCAAGUGAUGCAGUAUUCUAGUCAAAUUAAAGACCAACAAGAUGGGGCUACACGUUCAAAAAAGGUGGCAAGCCAAGCAAGUUCACCAGCCAAUACAAUAUUGCCAAGUGUCCCAAAUGACAUUUAUUUUGUCAAUCACAAGCAAUCUUAAAUAUUUGUGAUAAGCUUGGUGAUUUGAUAAACCAAUCAUAAUAAGGCAGAAUAGGUUAUUUGCAAUUGGACUGCUUACAACCUACAACUAUAAAUAUGAGGGUUACAUAAUUUUCUGAGGUCAUUCUGCAAACAUUGGAGAAAGCAUUUGUAUUAACUACACAACUCUGCAAAGGAUUGACUAACAGAGUUCUAUCCAAAGAUCAACUUGAUGAGACGAAGUAUUAUCCAAUAAUUCCUGGAGAUCCAAAUGAAUUUAUAGGACGUUCAAAUCAUCCAAAAGUUUGAGAAUUACACUACAAAUGAACCCUCAAAUCAUGAAAAAUCUUAGGAGAGAGAAUCAAGAGAAUAAAAUAAUUGUACCCGUAAAAUUCAUUUAAAUAAAAUUAUCCUUUUUUUAAUUUAUCUUUUCUUGCAGUUAAUUUUUAGCACUAUGAAAAUUUGUUGUGAAUAAAUUUUGGCAUGCCCAGUGGGACCAUUUUUGCUCUUCAUCUCUUCCUCCUGUAAAUUAAAUUUAACUACUGCUAUGGACUUUGAAAAGACUAAUAGAGUCUCAUGCAACAACUCUGCUACUGUCACAACUGAUGAGCUCAGUUAGUCGGACUACUCACUGGGCGCAAGUUUAAGACCUGUAGAUUGUACGGAUCUGAAUACUUUACUUUUUGGAGGAGGAAAAAUAGAGCAAAUCUCAUAUGAUGGCUGAAACUGCAACCCUUGAGGGCAAUUUAACAUCCCUGUUGUGAUGAACUCUCUCUGACUGGUGUCAAUUUUACUAAAUCUAAAGAUUCAAUGGAUUCUCUAGUUUCAACAAAUUCAACGCCUUGAUGGUUGCCACAACUAUAACACACUAGACUUUCCAACAUGUAUAUAGAGUCUAGAACGAGGUCAUGAGACCACUAGAAUGAAGAUAAACUACUUUAGGAUGAGUUUGAAUGGGUUGGGGUGACUUUAAAUAAAGAAAUAACCUAUGUGAUGCGAGGGGUAACCUACGCAAUAGUUCCACACUGCGAGGUGGAUACCCUGUGGUAGGGGUCACAUAGCGUGGUGGCUUCCCCACUCUAGGGGUAGGGUUGCAUGGUUGCCUCCUCGUAUCAAGGUUUUUUUUGUCGAUAUGACACUAUUUUAUGUAGAUUUUAAGGGCAUUUAAGUCAUUGUACACCCUUAAGUACUUCCCUAUUGCCCUUAUAUGUGAUUAAGUCCCUAAGACUGACCCUUUUCUUACUAAAAGUCAUCUUAAAUUCAUUCUUAGAGUAAGAGAGGAGAAACCCGCCUAGGGUUCAAGAUCUCGAGGCUCCGAGGGUCAAUUUAUGCUACGUUCUCUUCAAAAAAGGUAUGUAAAACUAUCCUAAAAAUCAUGGGCGUAAGUAUGAUGUUUUAAUAAACCCUAUAUCAUAUAUGUAUAAGUUAAGGCUUGAAAUUGAUUAAAAAAGCAUGAAUCAUGAAACCCCUUUUAUGACGAACUUAUGUAAUUUACUAUGGGGUUUGCUAUAAACUUGAGAUCUUACUUAUGUGCAUAUGUUAUGGAUUUUGAAGUGUUUGGAGUGUUUUAACUACGAACCCCAUUUCAUGACAAGAAUUAUGUGUUUAAAAAUUAUUGUGGGUUCUUAAAUGAAUAUGGAAAGGUAGAUGUACAAAUGCUUCUUUUAUCAAAUUAUGGAUUAUUUACCUAAAUGGUUUUUAGGAAGUAUCCUAUAUGCUGCAUGUAUUCUUGUUUUCUCCUUAAGCUUGUAUGAAUUAUGAAAGGUAUGACCACCUAAGAGUUAUGUCUUGAAAAAGAAAUUUGUUUUGCCUAAAUUUGCAUAUACAUUUUGAUAGGGAACUCUCUUGUGAUAUUUGAAUCAUCUUGGUGGUCAAUAAUAUGUUUUUGAGUAAACGAGCUAUGGAUAUGAUAUGAUACGACUUGCAAGUCUGGGUAUGAUGAUACCUUGUUAUGAAAUGCCCUUAAUAGAAUAAGAGAUAAAAUUUUAUAAGUAAAUGGUUACUCGAAGAAUAAAUGAGCAGAAAAGUUAUUGCUCGAAAUCGUGUUCUACCAACGCGGGAAUGAUUUUGUCAUGAAAAAUGUAUUAUCGCAGUAUACUUUCUAUAUGAAGUUGUAUACUAGAUCAGACACUCUAAUCUUUGCGGCAAACUCAGAUUGGGAACUUGGCCAAUGAGUUAAUGGCGGACCCAUAUAGCCCAUGGUGUAAUUGAAUUGUAGGGUGUACUAUCUAGCUCAGAAUUAAAGAAAAAAGUUGAGUCGAUUUUUUACAAGAUCGAUUGAAUUCUUAACUAUGCCCAUGAUCUCUAUUAUGUUAAGGUAUUUUCACAAUGCUCUUGAUUAUUUUAUAUAAAAUAUGUGUUGUUUUUGGAUUAUUUUGUAGACUAAUACAUUCAAAGUAUUAACCGUCCUUGGGCAGCUACAUUAUUUCAUAAUAUAGGGUCUGACUCCAGUCCCAUGGUGAAACGCAAUAAUAAAAUUCUAUGCAGAUUCAGAGUUGGUGAUCCCUUCAUACUCUGAAAGGCAAUCACUUAUAUGCUUUAGUUUUCUUUCAAUUUUAUAGUCUGAUCGGGGCCCUUGUCUUAGUCUAGACAGAUAAUCAAUAGUUGAGGCUUCACAGAAGAUAUUGGUUCACGUUAUGUUAUGACUUUAAAUUGCAAAGUUUGCUUAUUAGACUUCUUGAAAACCUCAUAAUGUUAUGUCACAUCACUUUGGAUGAAUUAUGAUUAUGAUAGUAUGCUAAGGGGCCUCUUGAGCCUUCAUGGUUCGGGCGAUCCAUCGUGACUAGGGCCUUGAGUCAGGUCGUGACAAGCUUGGUAUUAGAGCACAGUUCAAGGUCCUAAGGUGUCUACAAAGUCAUGUCAAGUAGAUUCCUUUUAUGGGUGUGUAGCACACCACACUUAUAAGAGGAAGGCUACGAGGCACUUAGGAAUGUUUUCCAUUUCUUCAUGUUCUAAUUCAUGCUACAGAGUAUAGUUCCAAUGAAGUUCUCCUAACUUAUGACUUUUUGUAUUUUAGAUCAUGCCUUCCCGAAGAUAUAAUGGUCAGAACACCUCAGUUGGAACCUCCACCCUUACUAGGGCAAUUCUGAAGAGGUCCACCCUACCCAUAGGAUGCAGAACCGAUAUAGAGCUCAUGCUCUUAACUUCUCUUCUCCUCUUGGGGUCACACUAUCCCUAACUAGUCCUUCUCGAGCUCUCUGUGAUAGUGUCAAAUGUUGAGUUUUUCUAGUCCAUUCAUAUGAUUUAUCAGCUUGUGGCAUCGUAGUCUCAUUCACCUAGAAAUAUUGGCAUGGUUUUUAGUUCUUAUGACAUCACUCGGGGUGGUCAAUUCAUAAGACUUAACCUACCCACUUUUAUGGGUUUUAAGGUUGGGGAAGAUCUUCAAGAUUUUGUAGAUGAGAUGGAGAAUAUAUUUUGAGUUAUGCAUACUAGUGAUAUAAAGGGAGUUGAAUUUACCAUCUAUUAGUUAAAAGGGCUGUCUUACCAGUGUUAUGAUAAGUGGGAAGAGUUAAGAGGUGAGAAUAUUAAACCUACGUGAUGGGAUGAGUUUUUUUAUGCUUUCCUUGAUCAUUUCUUUCCUUAUGAGUUGAGGGAAGCAAAGAAGGAGCAAUUUUUAAAUUAAAUCAAGGUAAGAUGAGUGUCAAGGACUAUGCAUUGAAGUUCAUCCAACUGAGAAAGUUUAUGUAUGGUCUUUUUGAUGAUUUAGUAUCAAAAUAUAAGGGAGCAAUGUUGAAUAGUGAUAGGAAUAUCUCCAGGAUAGUAGUGUGUAUGGAACAAGUGGAGAAGGAGAAGAAAAAUAUGCAGGAAUGAAGGAGAGGCAGACUAAGAAAGCUAGGUCGGCGGAUCAGGAUAUCAGUCAGCAACAAGAUGGAAAAUGGGGAAAGAAGUGGUCUAAGAAUAAAUUUUAAGGUAGUGCUCAGUCAACUGCUAACAUACAUGCUCCCAUACAUCUAAUCAAUCAGUAUUUCUAACCCAAUAGUGGUUCGAGGAUUUAGGAAACUCAGUCACAAGGUAGUGUAGCUUAGACUUCCAAGCCUUACCCUUAUUAUAGCACUUGUGGGAAGAAUCACCCAGGAAAAUGUCAGUAUGAAACUCUGGUGUGUUAUGGGUUUGUACAGGCUGAUUAUUUCCUAAGAGAAUGCCCCUAUGCAAUGGGAACCUUCCAGGGCACCAAGACCUAAGAUACUUCAUCGAUUUCUCCAUCUAAGGGUACUACUUCUAGUAAUAGCGGUGGUUACAACCGCUUGUAUGCCCUAUCUACUCUCCAAGACUCAAAAACUUCACUUGCUAUUGUCACAGGUAUGUUGCAUAUCUUCUCUAAUAAUUUUUAUGUGCUAAUUGAUCCUUGGUAUACUUUGUCUUAUAUGACCCUUAUGUGGUACUGAGUUUUGAUUUUAAGCCCAAAAAUAUUUUUGAACCCUUCCUUGUCUCUACCAUAUUGGUGACUCAAUUGUUGCUAGACAUAUUUAUAUAAAUUUCAUGGUAUUUUAUUAAUCGAGAUACUAUGGUAGACCUAAUAGAGCUUGACAUGGUGGAUUUUGAUGCUAUUUUAGGGAUGCAUUGGAUCCAUUCGUGUUAUGGUACAUUAGAUUGUAGAACUAGAAAGGUUGCCUUUUAUUUUCCUAAUGAACUAGUUAUAGAAUGCACCCAAAGGGAAAUUUAUAUCUUAUCUUAGGGACCGUAAGCUUAUAUCCAAAGGUUAUGUGUACCAUCUUGAUAGGAUUAAAGAUUUUAACACUAAAAGCCCCUCUCUCCAAUUGGUCUCUUUGGUAAAUGGGUUUCCUAAAGACUUUUUUGAUGAUCGCUCUGGGUUUCCCCCAAAGAGGGAGAUAAAUUUUUGGAUCGACCUAUUGCCUAACACUCUGCCUAUUUCUAUUCCACCGUAUAGAAGGGCUCCGACAGAGCUAGAGAAAUUGAAAGAACAGUUAAAGAACAUUCUUGAUAAGGGUUUCAUUCAUCCCAGUGUCUAUCCUUGGGGUGAUCCCAUACACAUCAUGCGUAAGAAUGAUGGUUCCCUCUGUAUGUGUAUAGACUACUGUUAGCCAAAUAAAUUCACCGAUAAGAAUAAUUACCCUCUCACUAGAAUUGAUUGAUAUUUUUUACCAAAUUUAGGGUUAUAGAUGUUUUUCUAAGAUAGACCUUUAUUGUAUUAUCAUCGGUUGAAGGUUAGGGAGGUUAGCAUUCUUAAGAUGGAUUUCCCAACCCGAUGUAUUCAGUAUGAAUUUUUGGUCAUGUCCUUUAGAUUGACUAAUGAACCUGCAACCUUUAUGAACCUUAUGGGCAUGGUAUUCCAGCUAUUUUUGGAUAUAUUCAUCAUAGUUUUAUUGAUGAUAUUCCGAUUUACUCCAAGAGUGAAGAGGACAAUACCAAUUACCUCGAGUCGUACUUCAGACCCUUAAGGACCAAGAGUUGUAUGCUAAAUUUUCCAAAGUGUGAAUUUUGGUUCAGUGUAAUAGCUUUUCUUUGGAAUAUUGUUUCUAGUGACGGGAUCAAGGUUGGUCCCUAAAAGAUUGAGGCAAUAAAGAAAUGGCUUAUACCCAUGACUCCAACUGACAUAAAGAGUUUUUUUAGUUUGGAGGGAUAUUAUAAGCUAUUUGUAGAGAUUUAUUCAUCUAUAACUUCUCCACUUACAAAGUCAACUAAAAAAAAUUAAAGUUUUUGUGGUCUGAGGCUGGUGAAAAUAGUUUCAAAAGAUUAAAGUACAAGUUGACUACUACUCUAGUUUUGACCCUUCUCGAAGGCAUAAAUGGCUUUGUUAUAUAUUGUGAUGCAUCUCGGGUGAGACUUGAUUGCGUACUCAUGAGCAUGGUAAGGUGGCAGCUUAUGCAUCUAGAAAAUUGAAGGUUCCUGAGAAGAAUUACCUCACCCACAAUCAAGAACUGGUUGUUGUGGUUUUUGCAGUUAAGAUUUGGCAUCAUUAUCUUUAUGGAGUGCAUAGGGAGGCAUGUAAAUAAGGGGAAUAUUCUAAGUUGGUUGAGAGUAAGGAUUAAGUGGAGAAGAGGGUAAAUAGGGAGGAGUACAAGUUAGCUACAAAGGAGGCUAAGUUAGAAGUUAUAGUUGCUAAGAUGGCAAUGUUUGAGAGCUUGUAUGCGGGAUUAGAGAAGAGAGGUGGAGAAAAGAGGUUGUGUAGGCAUGAUAAGGCUAGGGAGAGGAAGGGUUUUGACCUCAAUCAGGUGAAGUGAAUUAAGGGAGAGGAUGGUAGAGUUCUGGUGGGGGACGUCCACAUUAAGAGAAGAUGGCAUUCGUAGUUUCAUAGACUAUUGAAUGAUGAGGGGGACGGAGAUAUUAUGUUAGGGGAGCUGGAUCACUCAGAGAAGUAUUAUGAUUUUAGUUAUUAUAUAUGUUUUAACAUGGAGGAGGUCAGAGAGGCUAUUCACUAGAUGCGAAGGGGUAGGGUGGCGGGGCCUAAUGAGAUUUCAAUGGAUUUUUGGAAGUUUACUGCCAGGGAUGGUUUAAGGUGGUUGACUGAAUUGUUUAAUGACAUUUUCAAGAUGGAAAAAAUACCCGAGGCUUAGAGAUGGAGUACUAUGAUUCCUUUAUAAAAGAAUAAGGGCUACAUCCAGAGUUGCAACAACUAUAGGGGUAUUAAUUUGUUGAGUCACACUAUAAAGAUUUGGGAGAGAGUGGUCGAGUAGAAGUUGAGGAAGAUAGUUUCUAUUUUGGAGAACCAAUUUGGAUUUAUGCCCGGUCACUCAACGACGAAGGAAAUUCACCUAGGUCAAAGACUGGAGGAGCAAUAUAAGGAAAGAAAGAAGGACCUACAUAUGGUGUUUAUUGACUUGGAUAAGGAAUACAACAAAGUCCCUAAGGAGGUUUUUGGAAAUGCUUAGAGGUGAUUAGGGUCUCAGUGGCGUACAUUAGAUUGAUAAAGGACAUGUAUGAUGAAGCAAAGACUCGGGUGAGGAUGGUAGGAGAGGAUUCAGAGCAUUUCCCUAUCUUGAAAGCAUUGCAUCAGGGAUUAACUCUUAGCCCAUUUUUGUUUGCAUUGGUGAUAGAUGUGUUAAUAUGGAGUAUUCAACUAGAGGUGCCUUGGUCUAUGAUUUUUGUAGAUGAUGUAGUUUUAAUUAAUGAGUCGCGGGAGAUUUGAAUUAUAAAUUGGAGGUUUAGAGACAUACCCUUGAGUUCAAAGGGUUCAGGUUGAGUAGGAGAAAGACAGAGUAAAUGGAAUGUAAGUUUAAUGACUUGAGGCAGGAGGAUGAGGUGGUAGUAAGGUUGGAUUCCUAGGUUAUUUGUAAGAGGGAUAGUUUUAAGUAUCUCGGGUCCAUUAUUUAGGGGAAUAUAGAGAUUGAUGAAGAUGUCUCCCACCGUAUUGGGGCAGGAUGGAUUAAGUGGAAGCUUUUCUUGAGAGUGUUGUGUGAUAUGAAAGUGUCACCCAAGCUUAAAGGCAAAUUCUAUAGGGUGGCAGUCCAUCCGACCAUGCUGUAUAGAGUAGAGUCUUAGUUAUUCAAGAACUUUCACAUUCAAAAAUUAAAAGUGGUGACAAUGCGGAUAUUACAUUGUAUGUGUGGGAUUACUAGGGGUGAUAGGGUUAGGAAUGAGACUAUCCAGGAGAAGAUGUGAGUGGCUUUGGUGGUGGACAAGAUACGAAAAGUUCGGUUGAGAUGGUUUGGACAUGUGAUGAGGAGGGGCACAGAUGCCCCAGUUCGUAGGUGUGAGAGACUAGCUUUGGCUUCUUUCAGGUAAGGUAGGGGUAGGCCAAAAAAUACUAUAAAGAGGUAAUUAGACGUGACAUGGAGCAGUUACAGCUUACUGAGGACAUGAACCUAAAUAGGAAGGUCUAGAGGAUGCGAAUUAGGUUAGAAGGCUAAUGCAUGUGGGUGGGUCGUAGUCAGUAGUUAAGAGAGCUUUCGGGUAAUCGGGCAUGUAUUCUUAGGGUUAUGUCCAUAAGUUGGAGCUUCUAGUAGGAGGGUAUGGGGGGGGGGGAAGCCUUUGGUUCGUUAGUGUAGGGUAUUACUUUGUUGGUGCGUAAUUCUAUUAUUCCAUCUUGUUUCAUGCUUUAUUAUGGAUUUCUUUAUUUUUCGUUGUCUUGAGCCAGGGGUCUAUCAAAAAUAGCCUUUCUACUUCUCUGGAGGUAGUGGUAUGGACAGUGUACAUUUUACCCUCCCCAGACCCCAUUAUGUGGGAAUAUACUGGGUUUGUUGUUGUUGUUGUAUCUUUAUGGAGUGCAUAUUAAAAUUUUCACUAACCAUAAGAGCUUUCAGAGUGUGUUCACUCAGAAGGAUUUGAAUCUCCGACAAAGGUGGUGGCUCAAGUAGUUAAAGGACUAUGACAUGAGCCUAUACUAUCACUAAGGUAAUGCUAAUGUGGUUGUUGAUGCUCUUAGCAAGUUUUCCAUGGGCAUUCUCUAUCAUGUUAAGGGAAAAGGAGGAAUCUGGUUAAAGAUAUUUAUCACUUGGCUAAUUUAGGAGUUUUACUUUUAGACUCCAAGGAUGGAGGUUUGUUCGUUCAAGAGGUGGCUAAAUCAUUCUUAUAUACCAAAGUUAAUGAAAAAUAAGUCAAUGACCCCAUAUUACAACAACAACAACAACAACAAACCCAGUGUAUUCCCACUUACGUGGGGUCUGGGGGGGGUAAGAUGUACGCAGUCCAUACCUCUACCUCUGCUGAGGUAGAAAGGCUGUUUCCGAAAGACCCCCGGCUCAAGUAACGAGAUAUCACACAAACACAUAGUACAGCACAGAAGCAGAUGACAUAACAUAGAUACGGCACCCAUAAUAUCAUAGCUCUCGAAGCUGUUAAGAUACAAUAAUAUCAUGGCUCAAAAACAUCUAUACGAGAACUGCUUUUAAAUGGUAAUAGACAUUUCAAUCUUCUUAUUCGAUGCAUAUGAAGUCUCACAUAGUGCAUGCAUGAAAGCGUACAACAAACAAUUUGUAUAUCCACUGAUAUUGUAAGGCACUCAAUAUUUAUCAGUAUUGUCCAUUACUAUGUUGCUCGGAUCCUCCAAAAUCCUGUGGGGUACCAUGCAAACAAGAGAUUAGAUAGAACCUGUUGGUUUAUAGGACCAUAAGCAACAACAACCCUGACACCACUGACAUCAUCAUUAUGAUGAUGAGCUUACAGUUACAAAAACAAAUAAGAGGUGCCACAUAGUAGUCCAACAAAUGAAAGAAGGAAGAAGAAAUAUAAAGAAAGAAAUUGGCUUAAAAGCACUUUUGAGGCUUACCGGACACCAGAAAUAAGCCGAAAAGUGUUUUUAAGCUUCCAAACACCUUCUGAGUCGCUUGAAAGUCUUGGGCAAAUGUCUUUCCCUCAUAUAACCCUGUAACAGGCAUUUGCAACACCAAAGUCUGCAGCAGAGAUGUAAAUGAAUCUUUUAACACCUGCACACAGAAGCAAAUCACACAGAUAGUGUGUCAAUGACCUCAAUCCCACAUAAAAAAAUUAUUUAGAUUUGCCUUCUGCUGCUUAAAUAAUGCACAAUCAAUUAAAAAUGUAGAUACAAGGUUCAACAACAACUACAGCAGACAGAUUAAAGAAAAUACUACCUUUACAAACUGCUCGUGUUUGAAUAUGCAUACAAACAAAGGAGUAGAAAUCUGACUAGAAUUUUUUCACCUUUCUAAUAAACUAAUAGUUUCCCUGUGUACCUAAGUACGAUUUUUGCAAAGAUACCCAGGCUAAAAAAAAAAUCAACAACUCUAACCCCUCUUAGUAAUGCAAAGAUUCACGGUAAGAUUGGUAUGAGUAAAAUGUAAUGUGAAUAUCUAAAAUGUAAUUGUUUUGCAUUAAGGCCCUCAU